rnacentral:rRNA from 1 species
CCUACGGGAGGCAGCAGUGGGGAAUAUUGGACAAUGGGGGCAACCCUGAUCCAGCAAUUCCGCGUGUGUGAAGAAGGCCUGCGGGUUGUAAAGCACUUUCAGUAGCCAAGAUGGGAUUAUUCGCUAAUAUCGAAUAAUCUUGACAUUAACUACAGAAGAAGCACCGGCUAACUCCGUGCCAGCAGCCGCGGUAAUACGGAGGGUGCAAGCGUUAAUCGGAAUUACUGGGCGUAAAGAGUACGUAGGCGGCUUUGCAAGUCGGGUGUGAAAGCCCUGAGCUUAACUCAGGAACUGCAUUCGAUACUGCAUCGCUAGAGUUUAUUAGAGGAUAGCGGAAUUCCAGGUGUAGCGGUGAAAUGCGUAGAUAUCUGGAGGAACACCAAUGGCGAAGGCAGCUAUCUGGGAUACAACUGACGCUGAGGUACGAAAGCGUGGGGAGC